AAGUGGCAGAGCAGUCUACAAAACCGCCAGUUUAUUGGAUAGAUGUGAAGGACAUUGAGCAGGAUCUGGAUACCCAGGCAGAGGAUUGCUAUAUAGCAAUGGAGGCAUUAUGUGAGGUUUUGAACUCCAUGCAACCUCUUAUUGUCUAUUUCCCAGAUUCUUCUCAGUGGUUGUCCAGAGCAGCUCCCAGGUCUAAUCGUAAGGAGUUUGUCCGUAAGGUGCAGGAGGUGUUUGACCAAUUAUCAGGCCCAGUAGUUUUGAUUUGUGGGCAGAACAAAGUUGAAACUGGAUCCAAGGAGAAAGAGAAAUU